rnacentral:rRNA from 1 species
UAAUGUGAAUUGCAGAAUUCAGUGAAUCAUCGAAUCUUUGAACGCACCUUGGCGCCCUUAUGGCUAUUCCGAAGAGGCAUGCCUGUUUGAGUAUCAUG